UCGUACUUGGCAUGGUUGUCUCAGUACGAAGGAAGGUUAGCUGUAUGACUGAAUCUUCUGAAAAUCUAGAUUUACCUUGGUACAUAUCUGAAAUUUACUACGAGUCGACACAUUCUUUUUCAGGGAGCAAAGCUACGAAUUCAUUGUCCAAGCUUACCUUGGGGGACCAGAGAAUGUUAGUCUUCAGGAGACUGGACCGUUUUGGAACCAAUUCCUGGAGUCAUUAACACAAUAUCAAGAUCCAAAGAACUGAGUAGUAGCUAGCCAAGAGGGUGCUAAGGAGUAACGUAGACAUAUAAAUUGUCUAAUAUUUCAUCUCAUCCGAUAAUCAUAUGAUGUUCCCUGCGAAAUGCUUAUGGACAGGGAUUGUUUGAGGGCCUAAAGGCGUAUAAGAAAACUGAUGGAUCCAUCCUAUUAUUUCGCCUAGAGGAAAAUGCUAAAAGGAUGCGAACAGGUGCUGAGAGGAUGUGCAUGCCUGCACCUUCUGUCGAGCAGUUUAUUGAUGCAGUAAAACAAACCGUUCUAGCAAAUAAAAGACGGGUAAAUUCACUGGAUUGAUACAAAGUUAGGCUACUUUUGUAGUGCUAUGCCCAUUACUUAUGAUCAUGAUUUAAUUGGUCAAUAAAUAUCUUAUGCUUUCAAAUUCCUCCUACUGGUAAAGGUUCUCUGUAUAUUAGGCCCUUACUUAUGGGAAGUGGGGCUGUUCUUGGUCUUGCACCUGCUCCUGAGUAUACAUUCAUUAUAUUUGUCUCUCCUGUUGGAAACUACUUUAAGGAAGGUUUAGCACCAAUAAAUUUGAUAGUUGAAGACAAGUUCCAUCGUGCUACUCCUGGUGGUACUGGGGGUGUGAAGACCAUAGGAAAUUAUGCUUCGGUAAUUUAUCUAUUCUACUUUGGUGCACAAGUUAUUGAAGCUACACCACUUAAUUUCUGCAACGCUGCCCUGAUACUGCUGUUGCCUAUUUACAUACUAAUCUAGCUACUUUUUAGCUUCAAAUAUUCAAAUUGCAAAAAAGCCAACAAGGUGAUUGAAUAUAACGUGGUAUAAGCACAAUUCUUGAUAAUAAAAAAAAUCUUUGGUGGAUUAGCAGCUAUUAUGUGUCCGUUUCCUUGUGUGGUUAACAUUAGAUGUUUUCAGUGCUUUCCAGUAUUGCUAAAUAUUACUACAUGCCUUUCAUUGACAAACUGACAGCAUCAGAUAGAAUGCAAGAGUGGGUUAUGGAGCAUCUCCCUCCUUCCAUAUGCUUCCACAAUGUACAUCAUCAUCGGUCCUUCUAUCAGAAACAGUUCGAUACUCAUAGUCUACCGCUAAGCACUCUGUAAUUCGAUUGUAGUUUGGUAGUGUGCUGUUAAGUCUUGGUUGUAAGUUGCAUUUUUUUUAAAAAAAAUCUUCUUCUCCACCUACUUUUGUUGAAUUUUCAGAGCGAGCAAGUAAAUGCAGCCAUAAAAGCUGAAUCCUUGUUUUGUGAUAGUAUUGUCUGUACGACCCUUGCAAUUGAGUAUUUUCUGGUACUCGUUUGACUUAUGUUGUACUGGAUAUAGGGUUGAUCUGUAGGUUGCCACUGUACAGUGCUGUUUCUAUUCCGGCUUUUUGUUGCGUGGGUGAUGCACCAUGAUUUUCUGUUGAGCAGUAAAAACUAAAUAUAAUUAUUUUGUGGCAGUGGUAUAGAAAAUUCUGGAGUAGGCCUCAUUCGGUUUGAAAUGCUUUAGUGUAGUUCGCAGAUGGAAGCAUAGCCCUGAAGUCCAAUUAUAUUGGAACAACACUGAUUGAUUAUUUAGAGUGUCCAAAUUGAUAAGCUAAGAGAAACACAAAGAAUAUUAAAACUAGUGCUGCAUAGACAUCUAAUAUGGCCCAAAGAUGAGCUGGCUGAUGAGUUUGGCACACUUGCAUGUAUGACUGUCAUCUGUGUGGUGGACUGAGCUUCAAUGUGGACAUGUACAUGGAAUUCGAAUUUUAUACUAAAUGAUUGUGAGUUUAUUUCCUUUUAAUGAUUAUGACAUUUUCCAUCCUAAGGCCUAAGGGCAUACUCGUGCCUUUGUCUCUUGUAUGCUUUAUUUUCUUUGUUUGUGGUUUCUCCUAAUAUGGCUUCUGUUAGGAACCACCGAACUACAUCGUGUUCUUGAGUAUUUAGCAUGCUUGUAGCCUUGUAAUUGAUGUUGAACCGGAUGUGGAAUCUGAGAAAGAAGUUGAUAAUAAACUGGAGGAUGAGAUGCACGAGGAUGAAGAUGAUAAACGAUAUUCACCUGAGCCUAUACCUCAACAGACAAAUAACCAAUUUGAAGAGGAAGAUGGAUCCUUUUCUCCACAGCUAAUGCAUGGCAACAAAGAUGAAGAUGCAAUUGAUCAUGAAGA